rnacentral:lncRNA from 1 species
CUCGCCGUCGGCGCCCUAGCCGUGUCCGGCAGGAUGAGGUAAUACACCACGCCCGGCUCGUCCAGCUGUACCACGAGGUCCAGCUCCGUCGACGCCGAUCCCUGGUAGGUUCGCGGGUAGGAGCUGACCCACCGGGGCGGGACGAUGUCGAUGGCGGGGAUGACGUUGAGGUCGCGAACCGACGGAUCGACGCCGACUCGAGUCGUCAACGGGUCGUCCGCGCCG